GGUUAUAAACUGAUAUAAUUGUAUUUUGGUAAUAUGUAUAUAUAUGUUAAUGAAAUUUAUAUGUGGGAAUAGUAGAUGUAUAUAUGUUUUAUAAACAGUAGGGUAACGUGUACAUUUAUUGUGCCUGUAUAUGUAUAUAUAUAUACCCAUCGGAGCUGUAUUGAUGGAUUGGUGAAGGGGCAGGAUAGCACAGUGAUGGGUGAGGUGGGUUUAAUAAUAAUACUAGUGGAUAGGGUUUUAAGGGUUGUUGCUGCUGUGGGGGAGGACCCGCGCGCCGGUAACAGAGGGCCGUGUGCAAUACUAGAGGGGGCCACGAGCCGGUAACAGAGAGCCGUGUGCAAUACUAGAGGGGGCCACGAGCCGGUAACAGCGGGCCGUGUGCAAGAGAAAGGGUCCGCGAGCGGGUAGAUAUGUAUAUAUAAGGCGCUCCCGCCGGCGGACGUUAGACUGCAGAUCCCCCUCUCAGUGCUCGCACCUAGGUCUCCAGCGCUGCUAAGAGCUGUAGCACUGUAAACAUUACAGCAGCGGCAGGAGUAGCUUAGGGUGCGCAGCCAGAGAGGGCAAUUGGAAGGGAUAAAUAGACAAUGCGCCAGGAAGCUGCUGCUGACUGACCUUGUUAUCGCUGAGGUGUCAGGUGGAGAGGCGGAGAUCGCGCCAGGAGCCGCCGCUGUGGUGUUGUGCCGACGGUGAUGUUCGGGUGAGCGGCGGUGCAAGGCUGGAUCCAUCGGAGGUGAUGGCAUGGCGCCAUGGCAACACUGACGCCAACGGCAGAAUUAGCUUACCCUUCCCUCUAGAGGCAGAGCAGAAGCAGAGGCCCAAUAAGCAGUAGAGGGGCGGAGCCUGCCUGACAGUUGCUGAUCAGAGGAGGAGUCGGGGGAGCACUCAGAGCAGUACCGUUGUGCUGUGGAUAUCUUAUGCUUGUUGAUAUGUUGCCUUGGUGAUGGGAGCACUAUGAUGACGUCAGCGACGUCUACGUCAGCGUUCCUGGGUGGGCUGCAAUCCCGUUUCCGGAUCGAUGGCGCCAGUCACUGGGGUGAGAUCACUAUUUAGGGCAUGGACUGGCGUUUUGUCUCCGGAUCGUACCGGGAGAUCCAUGUUUCAUCACCGGUAAAAUUCCCAGCGAUUCCUCGUCACUGUAAAAAUUUGAUAGCAGCUAAUCUUCCUGAUUGUCCCUACUCCAGAACCGCCGGAGUAAGCUGUACAUGAUCUUCAUUCAGAGGCAAAUAAAUGCAUUGUCAGUGUAGAAGGAAUGAAAUGCAGCACUGUCCACCCUAAGACGUCUCAACUCAGUCCGCAGUGACCUGGAGGUCACACCAAGAGGAUAUGGAGAGUGGAUCACACACGAUUGGGUAAUAAUAAUUGCGCCUCUGAGUUCAAGUCUGGGACUAUUGUAGCUUCAUCUGGACUACUUCAUCAUCUUUGCUGCACUGGCUAUGUUCUGGAAUGAAGGGAA